rnacentral:rRNA from 1 species
AGCGUACACGGUGGAUGCCCUGGCAGUCAGAGGCGAUGAAGGACGUGCUAAUCUGCGAUAAGCGUCGGUAAGGUGAUAUGAACCGUUAUAACCGGCGAUUUCCGAAUGGGGAAACCCAGUGUGUUUCGACACACUAUCAUUAACUGAAUCCAUAGGUUAAUGAGGCGAACCGGGGGAACUGAAACAUCUAAGUACCCCGAGGAAAAGAAAUCAACCGAGAUUCCCCCAGUAGCGGCGAGCGAACGGGGAGCAGCCCAGAGCCUGAAUCAGUGUGUGUGUUAGUGGAAGCGUCUGGAAAGGCGCGCGAUACAGGGUGACAGCCCCGUACACAAAAAUGCACAUGCUGUGAGCUCGAUGAGUAGGGCGGGACACGUGGUAUCCUGUCUGAAUAUGGGGGGACCAUCCUCCAAGGCUAAAUACUCCUGACUGACCGAUAGUGAACCAGUACCGUGAGGGAAAGGCGAAAAGAACCCCGGCGAGGGGAGUGAAAAAGAACCUGAAACCGUGUACGUACAAGCAGUGGGAGCACGCUUAGGCGUGUGACUGCGUACCUUUUGUAUAAUGGGUCAGCGACUUAUAUUCUGUAGCAAGGUUAACCGAAUAGGGGAGCCGAAGGGAAACCGAGUCUUAACUGGGCGUUAAGUUGCAGGGUAUAGACCCGAAACCCGGUGAUCUAGCCAUGGGCAGGUUGAAGGUUGGGUAACACUAACUGGAGGACCGAACCGACUAAUGUUGAAAAAUUAGCGGAUGACUUGUGGCUGGGGGUGAAAGGCCAAUCAAACCGGGAGAUAGCUGGUUCUCCCCGAAAGCUAUUUAGGUAGCGCCUCGUGAAUUCAUCUCCGGGGGUAGAGCACUGUUUCGGCAAGGGGGUCAUCCCGACUUACCAACCCGAUGCAAACUGCGAAUACCGGAGAAUGUUAUCACGGGAGACACACGGCGGGUGCUAACGUCCGUCGUGAAGAGGGAAACAACCCAGACCGCCAGCUAAGGUCCCAAAGUCAUGGUUAAGUGGGAAACGAUGUGGGAAGGCCCAGACAGCCAGGAUGUUGGCUUAGAAGCAGCCAUCAUUUAAAGAAAGCGUAAUAGCUCACUGGUCGAGUCGGCCUGCGCGGAAGAUGUAACGGGGCUAAACCAUGCACCGAAGCUGCGGCAGCGACGCUUAUGCGUUGUUGGGUAGGGGAGCGUUCUGUAAGCCUGUGAAGGUGUACUGUGAGGUAUGCUGGAGGUAUCAGAAGUGCGAAUGCUGACAUAAGUAACGAUAAAGCGGGUGAAAAGCCCGCUCGCCGGAAGACCAAGGGUUCCUGUCCAACGUUAAUCGGGGCAGGGUGAGUCGACCCCUAAGGCGAGGCCGAAAGGCGUAGUCGAUGGGAAACAGGUUAAUAUUCCUGUACUUGGUGUUACUGCGAAGGGGGGACGGAGAAGGCUAUGUUGGCCGGGCGACGGUUGUCCCGGUUUAAGCGUGUAGGCUGGUUUUCCAGGCAAAUCCGGAAAAUCAAGGCUGAGGCGUGAUGACGAGGCACUACGGUGCUGAAGCAACAAAUGCCCUGCUUCCAGGAAAAGCCUCUAAGCAUCAGGUAACAUCAAAUCGUACCCCAAACCGACACAGGUGGUCAGGUAGAGAAUACCAAGGCGCUUGAGAGAACUCGGGUGAAGGAACUAGGCAAAAUGGUGCCGUAACUUCGGGAGAAGGCACGCUGAUAUGUAGGUGAAGUCCCUCGCGGAUGGAGCUGAAAUCAGUCGAAGAUACCAGCUGGCUGCAACUGUUUAUUAAAAACACAGCACUGUGCAAACACGAAAGUGGACGUAUACGGUGUGACGCCUGCCCGGUGCCGGAAGGUUAAUUGAUGGGGUCAGCGCAAGCGAAGCUCUUGAUCGAAGCCCCGGUAAACGGCGGCCGUAACUAUAACGGUCCUAAGGUAGCGAAAUUCCUUGUCGGGUAAGUUCCGACCUGCACGAAUGGCGUAAUGAUGGCCAGGCUGUCUCCACCCGAGACUCAGUGAAAUUGAACUCGCUGUGAAGAUGCAGUGUACCCGCGGCAAGACGGAAAGACCCCGUGAACCUUUACUAUAGCUUGACACUGAACAUUGAGCCUUGAUGUGUAGGAUAGGUGGGAGGCUUUGAAGUGUGGACGCCAGUCUGCAUGGAGCCGACCUUGAAAUACCACCCUUUAAUGUUUGAUGUUCUAACGUUGACCCGUAAUCCGGGUUGCGGACAGUGUCUGGUGGGUAGUUUGACUGGGGCGGUCUCCUCCUAAAGAGUAACGGAGGAGCACGAAGGUUGGCUAAUCCUGGUCGGACAUCAGGAGGUUAGUGCAAUGGCAUAAGCCAGCUUGACUGCGAGCGUGACGGCGCGAGCAGGUGCGAAAGCAGGUCAUAGUGAUCCGGUGGUUCUGAAUGGAAGGGCCAUCGCUCAACGGAUAAAAGGUACUCCGGGGAUAACAGGCUGAUACCGCCCAAGAGUUCAUAUCGACGGCGGUGUUUGGCACCUCGAUGUCGGCUCAUCACAUCCUGGGGCUGAAGUAGGUCCCAAGGGUAUGGCUGUUCGCCAUUUA